rnacentral:rRNA from 1 species
AUUCCUACGGGAGGCAGCAGUGGGGAAUAUUGCACAAUGGGCGAAAGCCUGAUGCAGCGACGCCGCGUGAGGGAUGAAGGCCUUCGGGUUGUAAACCUCUUUCAGUAGGGAAGAAGCGAAAGUGACGGUACCUACAGAAGAAGCACCGGCUAACUACGUGCCAGCAGCCGCGGUAAUACGUAGGGUGCGAGCGUUGUCCGGAAUUAUUGGGCGUAAAGAGCUUGUAGGCGGUUUGUCGCGUCUGCUGUGAAAAUCCGGGGCUCAACUCCGGACUUGCAGUGGGUACGGGCAGACUAGAGUGUGGUAGGGGAGACUGGAAUUCCUGGUGUAGCGGUGAAAUGCGCAGAUACCAGGAGGAACACCGAUGGCGAAGGCAGGUCUCUGGGCCACUACUGACGCUGAGAAGCGAAAGCGUGGGGAGCGAACAGGAUUAGAUACCCUGGUAGUCCACGCCGUAAACGUUGGGAACUAGGUGUGGGUCUCAUUCCACGAGGUCCGUGCCGCAGCUAACGCAUUAAGUUCCCCGCCUGGGGAGUACGGCCGCAAGGCUAAAACUCAAAGGAAUUGACGGGGGCCCGCACAAGCGGCGGAGCAUGUGGAUUAAUUCGAUGCAACGCGAAGAACCUUACCAAGGCUUGACAUACACCGGAAACAUCCAGAGAUGGGUGCCCCGCAAGGUCGGUGUACAGGUGGUGCAUGGUUGUCGUCAGCUCGUGUCGUGAGAUGUUGGGUUAAGUCCCGCAACGAGCGCAACCCUCGUUCCAUGUUGCCAGCAGCACUUCGGUGGCUGGGGACUCAUGGGAGACUGCCGGGGUCAACUCGGAGGAAGGUGGGGAUGACGUCAAGUCCGCAUGGCUCUUACGCCUAGGGCCACACACGUGCUACAAUGGCUACUACAAAGGGCUGCGAUACCGCGAGGUGGAGCCAAUCCCUAAAAAGUAGUCUCAGUUCGGAUUGGAGUCUGAAACUCGACUCCAUGAAGCUGGAAUUGCUAGUAAUCGCGCAUCAGCACGGCGCGGUGAAUACGUUCCCGGGCCUUGUACACACCGCC